rnacentral:rRNA from 1 species
AUGGAUGAGUUCGAGCCCGAGUGUGUGGGCGCGUUGGUGAGCAUAGUGGUAGCCAUGGACGAGUUUGAGCCCGAGCGUGUGGGUGCGUUGGUGAGUGCGGUGGCAGCGGCGGUCGUCCCCGAGCUCGAGCCCGAGCGUGGCGGCGCGUUGUUGAGAAUGGCGACGGCCUGGCCAUGGCCGAGCUCGAAUGUCUCGUUCUCCGAUGACUCAUGCGCAUGCCAUUUUCUUGAUUUGGCCCGUUCCCCUCUCUGCUCUGCUCUGCUUUGCUUUGUCCGCAUAUCUCCUCUGGUCGGCUCCGAUGUGUUUUUCCUGAUUUGGGUGUUCGCGAGAGAUGGGAAACUGCCGCGUGACGCCGCCGGCGGCGCCGGGAUGCAGCAGAAGGAGCCGAAGCAAAGGAAGGUCAAGAAGCCCAACCCCUUGUCGCUCGAGUACAGCCGGUCGGGGGCCUGUGCUGCGGGAGCCGGGAGGCCACGACACGUCGCUGGGAGGUACGAGCUGGGCGGUGAGCUAGGCCGCUGGGAGUUCAGGGUCACAUACCUCUGCACGGACCACGCCACCAGGGACGCCCUCGCCUGCAAGUCCAUCUCCAAGAAGAAGCUCCACACCGCGGUGGACAUUGAGGACGUGCGCCGCGAGGUCGAGAUCAUGCGCCACCCCCAAGCACCCCAACAUCGUCACCCUCAUGGACACGUACAAGGAUGA